UCAAAAGCUCCCCUACUGAGCACCUUGUGACCCCCACUCCUGCCUGCCAGAGAACCCCCCUUUUUCCUUUACCUACACAAAUCCUAUGAAACGGCCCCACCCCUAUCUCCCUUAGCUGACUCUCUUUUCGGACUCAGCCUGCCUGCACCCAGGUGAAAUAAACAGCCUUGUUGCUCACACAAAGCCUGUUUGGUGGUCUCUUCACACAGACGCACACGAAAUUUGGUGCCGUGACUCGGACUGGGGGACCUCCCUUGGGAGAUCAAUCCCCUGUCUUUGCUCCCUGAGAAAGAUCCACCUACAACCUCAGGUCCUCAGACCCACCAGCCCAAGGAACAUCACACCAAUUUUAAUUCAGGCAUUUGGUGCUCUGAAAUGGAGUUGGAUUCCAAAGAAAGAACAAAAAAUAGGAAAAGGGGAAGGUAAGGAAAGAGAGAAAGAAGGAGGUGGAAAAGAAGAAAACAAGAAAGAGGAAGAGGAGGAGGAGGAAAAAGAAGAAGAAAGAAGGAGAAAAAGGAGAGGGGAUAAGAAAGGAGGAAGAAAAAGCAGAGAAGGAGAAGCUUCAAUAAGAGGACCACACAAAGAGUUGAAUUACACACAGAGUUGAGGUAUGGGGUUUGCUGAAGGAUGGCUGAGAGAUAGAAACUUACAGAAAUAAAUCAGAGAGGACACAAACGAACGAAAAAACAUUCCAUGCUCAUGAAUUGGGAGAAUCCAUAUCAUGAAAAUGGCUAUACUGCCAAAAGUAAUUUUUAGAUUCAAUGCUAUUCCCAUCAAGCUAUCAUUGACUUUCAUCACAGAAUUAGAAAAAAAUUACUUUAAAUUCAUAUGGUACCAAAAAAGAGCUCAUAUAGCCAAGACAAUCCUAAGCAAAAAGAACAAAGCUGAAGGCAUCACGCUACCUGACUUCAAACUAUACUACAAAGCUACAGUAACCAGUACAGCAUGGUACUGGUACCAAAACAGAUAUAUAGACCAAUGGAACAGAACAGAGGCCUCAGAAAAAAACCUACACAUCUACAACCAUCUGAUCUUUGACAAACCUGACAAAAACAAACAAUGGAGAAAGAAAUCCCUAUUUAAUAAAUGGUCUUGGGAAAACUGGCUAGCCAUAUGCAGAAAACUGAAACUGGACACCUUCCUUACACCUUAUACAAAAAUUAACUCAAGAUGGAUUAAAGAUUUAAACGUAAGACCUAAAACCAUAAAAAUCCUAGAAGAAAACCUAGGCAAUACCAUUCAGGACAUAGGCAUGGGCAAAGACUUCAUGACUGAAACACCAAAAGCAAUUGCAACAAAAGCCAAAAUGGACAAAUAGGAUCUAAUUAAACUAAAGAGCUUCUGCACAGCAAAAGAAACUACCAUCAGAGUGAACAGGCAACCUACAGAAUGGGAGAAAAGUUCUGCCAUCUAGCCAUCUGACAAGGGGCUAAUAUCCAGAAUCUACAAGGAACUUAAACAAAUUUACAAGAAAAAAACAAAUAACCCCAUCAAAAAGUAGGCAAAGGAUACAAACAGACACUUUUCAAAAGAAAACAUUUAUGCAGCCAACAAACAUGAAAAAAAAAAAGCUCAUCAUCACUCAUCAUUAGAGAAAUGCAUAUCAAAACCACAAUGAAAUACCAUUUCACGCCAGUUAGAAUGGCAAUCAUUAAAAAGUCAGGAACGACAGAUGCUGGAGAGGAUGUGGAGAAAUAGGAACAUUUUUACACUGUUGGUGGAAGUAUAAAUUAGUUCAACCAUUGUGGAAGACAGUGUGGCGAUUCCUCAGGGAUCUAGAACCAGGAAUACCAUUUGACCCAGCAAUCCCAUUACUGGGUAUAUACCCAAAGGAUUAUAAAUUAUUCUACUAUAAAGACACAUGCACAUGUGUGCUUAUUGCAGCACUAUUCACAAUAGCAAAGACACAGAACCAAUUCAAAUGCCCAUCAAUGAUAGACUGGAUAAAGAAAAUGUGGCACAUAUAUACCAUAGAAUACUAUGCAGCCAUAAAAAAGAAUGAGUUCAUGUCCUUUGCAGGGACAUGGAUGAAACUGGAAACCAUCAUUCUCAGCAAACUAACACAUGAACAGCAAACCAAACACCACAUGUUCUCACUUAUAAGUAGGAUUUGAGCAAUGAGAACAUAUGGGCACGUGGAGGGGAAUAUCACACACUGGGGCCUGUCAGAGGGUGGGGGGCAAGGGAGGGAUAGCAACAGUUUAAAUACCUAAUGUAGAUGACAGGUUGAUGGGUGCAGCAAACCAUCAUGGCAUAUGUAUACCUAUGUAACAAACCUGCACGUUCUGCACAUGGAUCCCAAAACUUAAAGUAUAAUUUAAAAAACACACAUACUAAUUGGUAAAUAAAUAAACAUUAUUUAUGUGAAAUAGA